rnacentral:lncRNA from 1 species
ACCGUUAAAGUGAUUUAUUCUUUGCAGGCACCAUUUCCUCAGCGCAUCACUCCCCCCUUCCUGGCCCAGCUGCUUGCACAGAUUUCAGCGUCACGCUUUUCCCUCGGGGCCCCGCAGCCUGGCUCGCUGCUCAGGCCUGUCCUGCUUGCGGGUGCUCCUUUCGGGCCACAAACAUUAGAGGGAGCUGGAGACCCGCAGUGCCCGGUGGAUGGCUGCAGGCGGCCGAAGGCUGGCAGGAAUGGCCGGCAGGCACGUCCCGAGCACCGGGGGCUCACCGGCUCUGCCAUCCCACACGUAUCCAGCUCCAGGAGUGCCACUGAGGGGUUUCUGCCCCGCCUGGGACGUGCAGGAUCAUCCAGCACAGCCCAUGGGCUGAAGUUUCUUCGACACAGCAUUCUCUGCUCCAAAAUCCCAGCAAAUUCAUGCUCACAAACUGUGGUGUGCCUGCCAGAGAGGACGGUGCUUCUCCAUCACCUGGGGAGGGGAUUCUGCACCCGUUCCUGCCCUGCCUGGGAGGUGCAGGAUCACACAACCCAGCCCAUGCUGCUGGUGGAGGCUGAGUUUCUUCAACACUGCUCCAAAAUCCCAGCAAAUUCACCCUUGAGAAAUUGUGGUGUGCCUGCCAGGGAGUACGGUGCUUCUCCAUCAUCUGAGGAAGGGAUUCCACAUCCAUUCCUGCCCUGCCUGGGAGGUGCAGGAUCAUCCAGCCCAGCCCAUGCUGCUGGUGGAGGAUGAAGUUUCUUCAUCAUAUCAUUCUCUGCUCCAAAAUCCCAGCAAAUCCAUGCUCACAAACUGUGGUGUGCCUGCCAGGGAGGACGGUGCUUCUCCAUCACCUGGGGAGGGGAUUCCGCACCCGUUCAAUCUUCCAGCACCACCAGCUCUGUGCCAUGCUCACCAUGCCAGCCCUGCCACCCUGCAUCUGACACAUCCUGGUUGUUCAGCCCCUGGUAGAGUAAAUCAGGGUGAUUUGUGUUGUGGCAGGAGCCAGAGGCUUAACUCAGCACCAGUGUAAGGAAACACAGCCGUGGAUCUCGGAGAUAAUGGAUCUGUGUGGGACAUUCAUGUGGGAUGGGACUGACAGAUUUGCUGCAUGACCCAGCACCAACCCCACGGUGAUCAGGGGUGUGUUAGACCAGAGGAACAAAAAGAGGAGUGUCAUACAGGAGACUUUACCAUCCCAAAAAUAAACCUGGGAACAAACACUCCUAUAAAAGGCCC